rnacentral:rRNA from 1 species
AGAGUUUGAUCCUGGCUCAGAACGAACGUUAGCGGCGCGCCUAACACAUGCAAGUCGAGCGAGAAAGGGCUUCGGCCCCGGUAAAGCGGCGCACGGGUGAGUAACACGUAGGUAAUCUGCCUUCGAGUGGUGGAUAACUCUCCGAAAGGGGAGCUAAUACAGCAUAAGACCACGAUUCUCCGGAGUCGCGGUCAAAGCGGGCCUCUCCAUGGAAGCUCGUGCUUGAAGAUGAGCCUGCGGCCCAUCAGCUAGUUGGCGAGGUAACGGCUCACCAAGGCGACGAUGGGUAGCCGAUCUGAGAGGAUGACCGGCCACACUGGGACUGAGAUACGGCCCAGACUCCUACGGGAGGCAGCAGUGGGGAAUCUUGCGCAAUGGGGGAAACCCUGACGCAGCGACGCCGCGUGAGCGAUGAAGGCCUUCGGGUUGUAAAGCUCUGUGGAGAGGGACGAAUAAGUGCAAGCUAACAUUUUGCAUGAUGACGGUACCUCUUUAGCAAGCACCGGCUAACUCUGUGCCAGCAGCCGCGGUAAGACAGAGGGUGCAAACGUUGUUCGGAAUUACUGGGCGUAAAGCGCGUGUAGGCGGCAACACAAGUCGGAUGUGAAAUCCCGCGGCUUAACCGUGGAAGUGCACCCGAAACUGUGUCGCUAGAGUCCCGGAGAGGAUGGUGGAAUACUUGGUGUAGAGGUGAAAUUCGUAGAUAUCAAGUGGAACACCGGUGGCGAAGGCGGCCAUCUGGACGGUGACUGACGCUGAGACGCGAAAGCGUGGGUAACAAACAGGAUUAGAUACCCUGGUAGUCCACGCCGUAAACGAUGAGUGCUAGGUGUCAGAGGCUUUGACCCUUCUGGUGCCGAAGCUAACGCGUUAAGCACUCCGCCUGGGGAGUACGGUCGCAGACUAAACUCAAAGGAAUUGACGG